GAAGAUGUGAUGAUCCGUCGCAGUUCCCAGCUCUGAGAACUGAAUUCCAUGGACUGGUUUCAGUGCUGUAUCUUCAGUUCAUGGUAGUCAGUUCUCUAGCUUGGCUGUAUCUAACUUCACAACUAGUAA
ensembl:miRNA